CCUGGUGAGUCACGGCCGGGGUAAGGAGGUGGGGCUGGACGAACGGCGGCCGCGCUGGCCAAUAGGACGCGGCGGGGGCGCGGCUCCGCCAAUCAGGCGCAGCCGCUUCAUGAAUAUGCAGCGCGAGGGCAGGGUGGGGCGGCGAAGUCGGGUGAAGUUCGGAGUGGGGUGCGGUUCCGCCUCCGCGCUGCCCCUGCUCUGCUGUUGCGGGGUGUGGGGCGUUGCUUGGAGCUCGUGGCGGCUAGCGGGCGUUGGGCUGGGCUGGGCUGGGCUGGGCUGGGCUUGGGCAGCUGUUGUGUGCUUUCUCACCCGCCGAGCAUGAUGCGGGGCUCUGCAGUGCGGAGGGGCUGCUCCUUAAAGGCGCUGCGGCGUUCCGCCGGCGGAAGCAUCUCCCUAGAGAAGGCGGGCGGCAGCGGUCAGCCCAUGCCUCCGAGGAGAUGGGGACAGGGCACGAGAUGGUAGUCGAAACUGUGUGCAAAGAACCUAGUGUAACCAGGAAAUAAUAAAGCCUGCCGGAAUCGCGGCGUCCGUCCAGGGAGGAGACAUUUUGGGAGCACACCAACUUGUUCAGCCUGCAUGACGCUGCAGCAGCCAUGCAGAGAGGCCCGGCGGUCCCGCUAGUACCCGAAUCGGGCACUUCGACUGGGCAGAGGCUGCUGCAGGCCCGCAGCAGGCUGCCUUUGUGCCCCAAGCCCCUGCCUGCUGCAGGCUGUGAUGGACCACGAGACGAUGCCUCACCCUGCGUGCUGCCGUGCUGCCGCUGUCCCCAGCCGCACUGCCGCGUUUCCCUGGCUCCUUUGAGCAGCCUGCAGCAGGUCCGGGCUCAGGUUGUGCUGGAGGAGGCUUGUACAAGCAGGCCCAAGGACACAGGCAUUCCCUUCCUCUUCCAGACACACCUAGAAAGAACAGGGAAAGUAUUUCUACGAAGACAACUGUUAUCCUACAGGGAUACAAAAUUCUACAGCAAGUGAAGGAGCUCUUAGCUAAAGACCUGUGAAGUCUUAUACUCUGUUAUCCUCAUUAUUUUUUCCCUCUAAGAUUUUGUAUCUUUUGUUGACAAACGAUUCACAUACAUUUUCAAGCCAGCCCUUUUGGCAGUCAUAUUUAGCUUGGUGGUGCUAGGUUGGACUAGAUGAUCAUAGCGCUCUUUUCCAACCUUCUGGUAGUCUUUUCCAACCUUUAUGUUCUAUGAAGGGCUGUGAUUCUCCCAUAAUUUUGUUAUACCCCAGCAGGAGUUUUGCUCUGGUAAAAGUGGUGUCUCCCAAAAUGGAGACAGAAGCUGUGUUGCAGCUUUAGUAGCAGUAAUUCCUCCUCACUCUGCCAGCAGUUAAUGUGGUUUGGGAUUUAAGACACAAAAUUCCCUUACCUAUAGCUCUUAUUAAUACUUUGCAGAGUUCUGAGUACAGACACAGUGGUGAAAACAACUUUAACAUCUCUAACCAUUUUUGGUCAUCUACAAGAAGGAAAGUCUAUAUAUAAUUCAGAUGAUGUUAUCAAAAUGCUUCAAAGUGAAUCCAUCAUCAGUUAAAGAGAAACGAAAUGGAUUUUUAUUUAGAGAAAGGAAGUGACUAAAGGUCUUGGAGGGAAACAGGAAGGGAGUUCCAGAUAGCCCGAGCAAGUCAAUUAACAAGGGAGAGGAAAACAGAGCUCCCCAGUUUGGGACGUACACUGCAAAACACACUUUGGUUUAGCUCUUAGAAAAUAUUUUGUUAUUCUUGUAUGAAGAUUGUCAGCAAGUCGGCAUACUUUGCAGAUAUUCAGUAAGUUAAUUUACAGUCUUAGUUUUCAUGAGAUGAUUUCAUAUAGCAAACUUAGGAAGAAAACCAUCCAGUACAUGAAACAGAAGCUGUUUAGUCUGCUUCUGAAUUUCUGCAGUAGCACUGAUGAUGGUUAUGUACCAGCUGCAUUUUCUCUAUCCGCUGUGACUUUCUGCUUGAUCUUACAUGGAAGAUAUCACAGCGUAUCAUAGACUAGGAACAUCACUGUGGUGGGACAAAUCACAGCGGGUUCAAACAGGAAUAGCAUUUAGUCUCAGAUGGCAAUUAAAAAACAUGGAGUUAGAAUUGCAGGGAUAGCUGGAUUUCCGUCCCUCAUUUUAAGCUAAAACACAACCUCCAGAUUUCAGGAAUCAUGGUUGAUCUCUGUAAGGUUAAAACUCUGCUGUUCCUUUGCGUUCAGAUUAUUAAUUAUUAAUUAAUAAUAAUUAUUAAUGACUGUAGCCAUUGCUACAGCGUGUUGGGCAUUGAGCAUGUUUACCUAGCAGGUUUCUCUUGGUAUGAAUGCCCGCUGUACUUCCGUCCAAGCUCUGUGGUGGGGUAUUGUAACAAAAUCACUCCUUAAUUUAAUAAUACAAAUGCAGCAUAUGGAGGAAAAAAGUGUUAAACAGCGUUACAGAGAGACUGCCAUAUUUUAAUGGUAACUGACACAGGUUUGCUUUAUAGAAUCUUCUCCAGGACCUGCCUCUCAGCUCUGUCCUCUGCAACAAAUAACAUUUUCUUGCCAGUCCCUUUUUAAACCUUUUAUAUUCUUUUGUGUUCCAGGCACUUCCUGUUCUGGACUUGUUUCUAACAUACCAUAAGAGUUUGUGUGGAUUGACUUCAGCUGAGCCAAUUGUUCUAUUUUUUCCCCUCCAAUAUUAUCUUGAAAAAUCAAACCAAUCCGUUUUUACAGUAAGCAUCCCAACAGCCAUGCUGAUAUGCAGUACUCUGAUUCAGAUCUGUCACAAAAUAGCGUUUAAAACUUCCUUCAGCCAGCCAGCAAGGUGCUGUACCACACCAUCUACAGGGAUGAGGCUGGUUUGAGGACAGCUCCAAAUUACACCAGCUGUCACGAGGGCAAAUUACCAUCAGCUAUAGCUUUAAAUUCCCACAUCCAGGUAAUUUCUUCCCAUGUACAACUUGGUUAAGCUUCCAUUCAAAGCAUCUAAAGCAGAUGCAAAGCAUCACAAAUAACUUUGCAACAGAGAACAGGUAUAUACUUGCUCAUCAUUAAAAUACACAAGAAUAUGAACUGAAUCAAAUCAAUGAUAACACGCAAUGUGCUCUAGCAAAUGAGGCUGCGAUCUGAAGAAUUCACCUCACUAAAACUGCACAGGAAUUCAAUUUUAAUUGGAUUGUGGUCUGAUUACUCUUUCCCUUGGAAACAAACCAUUUGGUCUUAAGAGAUGACACACAUUUAAAAUGCCAGUUUUAUGUCUCACUGAUGUUGUGGGCUCCUAAGUGGUGGGAUCUUUCCAUAACCAAGGAAGACAUAGUUUAUAUAGAAGAAAGACAAGACGUGUACAAAAACCUCAAAACUGUUGCACUUCUAAGUUCCUGGGUAACCUCCCAUCUACAUACUGACCUCAGGUAAGGCUACUUAACCUGUCUAACUAACUGGUUCUCAACAAGCAGAUAGUGUGGACUUAAAAUAAAUGUAUCCUUAGAAGUCCUACCCUCUCUGUCCAAUUGGAGGACACCGCAAGGGAACGUGCUGCAAUGAUUCAAAAAGGCCCUUAAAUGAAAACAAAGACUAAAAACUUAACAUUUCAUUGUUAUAAUGAAGCGAUACAUUAGAAAGAAAAUGGAAUCAAUAAAAAUAUAUAUUCACAUGUUACUAAUAGAGUAUUUGAAGAACAAAUCCAAGGAAAUGUGGUGGAAUGAUGUACACUGAAUGAUUUCUAAUACCACUUUCAACCUUCACCAGGUCUCUGCAGAAAGUUUCAACAUACAAAAAUGUGAAGUCUUCUGAGACUGACUCUAAGGAAUCAGAAUGAUGAAAUGAUACAAAAUGCAGAUAAUUCCUCACUUUAGUGUUAAUAUUGCUACUCUUCAGUCCUUCAGACAUAUGAGAAAUAAAAUAAUUCCCUGACCAUUUUAGCCACAACAGUUUGCAGUCCUGAGGAACACGAGGACCACCAGCUUUGUUGGACCUGGACACAAAAAUCCAUUCAACAUUAAUGCCUCUUGUGAGCAGAUCAAGAAUGCCUAGGCAUCCGUGUCAAGAACCAAGGCUCACUGGCUUAUGCAAUAUCCUGGCAUGUUAAGAAGUCAUUACCUCCUCCUACACACAGUUCACAAGACACAAUGCAACAGGUGGAUGAAAGACAUGUUAUGUGGGGGUGUUUUGGAAAAAUGAGGCAACAAUGAACCAAAGAGGACAGUGGAAAAGCAGCAGUCAUUUUGCCACCUACUUUUAUGGUGCUGCUACACAGAAACUCUGACGCCACCAUAAGCCAUGUAGUACUCUUCCAAAAAUAAUGGCCAUCUCAUCCAGUGAGCAUGAAGGACGGCUGGCUGUUCCUGUCCCUGUGCCCAAAUGAGUCAUUAGUCAGAGCCCACUAGAGACAGCUACGAGCCCCCUGCUCAAGACAGAAGACCCCCACGGAUGUAAUGGGGAAUCUGAAUGGGAGGAGACCCCUCGCAGCAGUCUGCCACCUGCCCACCCCCACCUUGGUGCUGAUGAGGCUUCAUUACUGCAAACACCUUCCAUCAGGUUGCCAACAGUUUACAGAGCUUGGCCCAGGUGCGCUCCUGCUGCAUACACAAAAAUGCCCACAAGGAAAAGGGAGAGAAAGGGCAUAAAUGUAAGUAUAUAGAUGAAAUGUUUUCAUUGCAAUGCAACAACAUAACGCAUACAGAUGGAUUGAGGACCCUAUUGCCUUUAUUUUGGGGUACGCUUAACAGCAGGCACAGUAUAGCAGCCUUGUGCCCUAAAUGGUGGGGCUAGAUGAUCAUAGUGGUUCUUUCCAACCUUAAUGAUUCUGUGAUUCUGUUCUAUAUUAUUGGGAAAUUCUCCAACCUCACGCAGUUUUAGGUCUACUGAAAAGCAUCUGACAGGUCUGCUGAAUUGCAUCUUUGCUUAAUUUUCCUCCCUCCAGAGUAUGGUGAAUGUUUCACAAUAAUCAUACUGAUUUAAUCUGCCCCAAGAUUAAAAAGUAGCUUUCGCUGUCAUUUUUGUGUCUCUGAGAACAUUGGAAAUCCAUUUAAACUUUUUUGUUCUUGUGACUUUUUUGAUUAUGUCUUGGAGUAAAACCAUUGGUCUCUUCGGCCACACUGGUGUGUAAAUAGCAUCCCUCAGAACUGAUGUCACCAUACUAAUUAGCCCUUAAAUGAAGCCCCGUGUCAUUGGGAGUGGUUUUUACACUAUCACUGAAAUUGAUUAUCUUUUGUAUGAAGUGCCAGGGUGAUAGGCAGUGAGGUGCAUUGCAAACAAAUGGCCCAAUCCUGUCAACUCCCACGUGCCCUCUGUCAUUUAUGUAGUCCCUCUUAAUCCUGGAAGAUGCAACAGGCACCUUGAGACUCAUCCCUUUUGGCAGGGUCCCGUAAGCUAGCUAGGCUGCGUCUGCUUCACUAGCUUUGUUUGCAGAAGUUGAAACCAAGUGGAAAAUAGUCCCACCAGCUCCUCGCUGUUCAGAUUUGUCCCCUGAUUGUUCAUCUUGGCAAAGGAUCGAAACUUGUUGCUGGACAUGCUUUCACCAAAGCAGUGCAAAAGAAGGAGGGAAGUCAUGUUUCAACUGCACCCAUCCCAGAAAGCUAAUCUCCUGCAUACUAUCAAUCCAGUCCUGAAUAUCUAUGUCACAACCACUAAGCAGACUGUGUUCUUACACAAAUUACCAGAACACGUGACUGCUCACAGCCAAGCAGCUGCUAUUGUUCUCUGCCAUUUCUAAGGGCUCAACUGUACAGUCACUAGACAAAGAUCAGGCUAAACAAGGCCUAAAAGAAACAAGCAGACAGAUUCAUCCACAGUUACAAGGACCAAGAGCGUAAGAAGCAAACAAUUUUUUGGAUCCAAAGUAGUAUAGAGGAGGAGUUGUACUAGAAGAUCCCAUGGAAAUGACAUUAACAUAUUUGUAACUGAAUCUGUAAAGAGGGUGGUUUGAGCAUUACAACAGGAACAGAGAUGACAUUUAGCCAGCCACAAGCCUGCCAGCUUGAGGAGAUCUAACACUGCCUGUCAGAGGAGGUGAUGGAUUUCAGACAGGAGCUAUGACAGCAUUUCUAACACACUGAGUGGCACCCUGUGAGUGUUCAUCUAACGUGUUCACCAUGUGACCACAGAAACUGGGAUCGAAAUUCUUCUUGAAAAAUAGGAAGAAUCAAAGAAAAUUCCAUAACCAAAGGGUCACUCGUCAGCUGUGGAUUGCAUGUAACUCUGUUGCUCCAGGGAGAAAGGGAUUGCUCCACUGCUUGCUCUGCAGAAUAGACUCACAGACUUUUGAAUCAUUUAUGCGUUUGCUAUGUAAGUAAUUUGACACUCUACUGUUGUGCUUCCUCUUUUUUUAGGGGGGAGGGGAAGAAGUUAUUUUUAUGGUACCAAACUCUGAGGAAAAUGCUAGAAAAAUGUACAAAAUAAGAGAUCCAUUCCUUGGAGCAGGAAAUGGAUGCACACUUGGAUAUGAUACAUUAAGCAUUCUUUACAAAGUGUAGUGAUGGCUCCCUGUACACUUCAAAUAUCCUCCAGCAGGUAUCAGAUCUUCAAAUCAACCUGCAACUGAAGAGAGGAGACGUGCAGGGGGAGAGGAACACUUUCCAUCACAUGCAGGCCCCAGUGGUGUAAGGGGGGAAAUACUCUGUUCCAUAUUCCUGGAGGCAAAGACAAAUGUGCUUGUUUGGUUGGUUCUAGCGCGGACAGGGUCCAAAGAAGAAGAGCACUGAAAAGUGAAAAAUGAGUCUUGGGAUCUGUGCCUGGUACUGAUGCAAAUGAAGGUGGAACUAUACAAACAGCAACACAAUUGGGCCAUUCAUCAUUCCUUCAUUAGCAGCUUUUCUUCACAACACCCCCAUCAAAGAAAGAAAACCUCCCUUCUUUUUAUUAAAGAUCAAGAGGAUUGAAAAGAAAGCGUAAUUGGCAGAGGAGACAUGCAGUGACAUGGAGACUGCAUGCUCAGCCUGGCCUCGUUGAAGGAGUGCCUUGUAUUGCACUGAGACACAGCACCUGCACUGCAAGAGCAGCACUGAUGCAACUCACAGUCUGCCAGCACGUCAGCUGAAAAAGAGCUCUGCAGAAGUGGGAUCAUGUGAAAUUAAUACUUCCAAACAAAAAUGCAACAAUACCAACAUCCCGCCCAACUAAGGUAUCCACUUGUCUACAACCUUGUCUACAACCAAGCAACCCUGAAAUGGGGUACUUCAAGAAGUAUGAACAGCGACCAUGCUCAAACCAACUGAAUGGGUCUUCUGUUCUCAAUGGGUGAAUUCAACACCUGUCCACACCAACCUCACAGGUGGAGCUGCAGCAGCAAUUAUCAAAACGAGUUCUGAAGAUAAGUUCAUUCAACACCAAAUCAAAGCCUGGAAGUAGCAGCAAGCUAACUAGCUGUGUACAGAAGCCCUGCAAAAACGCAUCCAUCCAUCUUGUUGACAGAAGGGGCUCACACACACAAACUGCUUCCGCAUGAGAAUGGGAAGACAGCACAUGUUGCUCUGUACAACAGCAUACAGGGACCAGAAAUUGAUGGCAUGCAGCUGUGGGGGCAAAAUCUCUUCUCAGCCUGCCCAUGGAGACUUGAAAGGCUGACAGAGGAAAACUUCAUUUAAGCAGUGAUAUCAAAGACAUGUGGGCAAAUAAAAUACAGCAGUGUCUCUGCAAAUAACACAUAAAAUUACCAAUUAUUAUGUAUGAAAAACUAGUCUAGAAAAAGAAACGUAGCUUCAACUCUUUCAUAAUAGUUCAUAUAUGCAGCAAUUACUGCCCCAACCAAUAGCAAAGUAGAAAUUAACACAGUGGCCAAUGGAUGUUUGCAGGAAAUAAGCUGUUAAAUUAUGCAAUUGCUUUGAGAGGAAGUAUAAGAGACAUGAAAUGCACAAAAUAAAUCUGUGGAAUUGUAAAGGCUUGCACAGCAUGGAACUAGCAUGUAACUACCAUGCAAGCAUGGACAAGGCACUGCAGAAAUCACAACACGGUUGUGCUGAGCCAGUAUAUAGCUUUUAAUCAUGUAUGUGAUUACAUGAUUAAAAGCUAAAUAAUAACCAUCUACAAGGGAAGGUAAACUAAAAUUAUGUUGGCAAAUUGGAGGCAAAUUUCCUUCUCUGCUCACUCAUGCACACCUUGUUUCUGAGUUUAUUUUGUUUAUUUCAUUGUUUGGGUAAUCUAGAAGAUAGGUGUGUUUUACCAAAGGUCAGGGUCGUCACUGUGUAUGGAAUAAUACCAUAGAACCACCAAGGUUGGAAAAGACCUCCAUGAUCAUCCAGCCCAACCACCCACCCACCGCCAGUACUUCCCACUAAGCCACAUCCCUCAGUACCACAUCUGAACAGUUCUUGAACACCUCCAGGGACACUGACACCACCACUUCCCUGCGCAGUCCACUCCAGCACUCACCACUCUUUCAGGGAAUAAUUUUUUCCUUUUUUUUUUAUUUUUAAAUUACAUAAUACCAUGCACCACUAUGCUCUUCUAGACACUCUGAAAGUAUUUGCUGCUCAAUGAAACUGUCCUGCAAACAUUUCUGCAAGGUGUGCACAGCGAGCUGCAACACUGUGCAUAGCAUCUGAGAUGUUUUACUGCUGAAGUUUUGCUUUAAUUCCUGGUCAGUGCUCACAGAUUACGCAUCUGCCUCUGACUUCUUUUGCUUGGGCUUUUUUUUUUUUUUUUUUUUUUUUUUUUUGAAUCAGCAGCAUGGCAUUUUAUAUAAUAAUUGUCGACAGAACGGUAAUGCUGGAUUUAUGCCAUAUAUUAAAUGUACAUAAAUAGUUAACACAUUACAUACUAUAAUACACUGAGGACACAUUUUAAGCUAUUUAUGCUCCAUAUACUACACAGGAAUUUGUCUGUAGGACUAAUGAAAGGUAUUCACACUACUCUGUUACAGUAAAGCUGUUAGCAUAAAUGGGACAAACUCCUCGUGUCACAGACAGCAAAAUGAUAAAAGGUUUAGUAGGCUCUUUGGCAGGAGACAGACGGAAUAGAUUCAGCUGCUAAAAAUCAAGAUGCUGACAUUUUGUCCUUAGUCACCAGUGUUAUCUUUCUCCAUAGAAACCAAGUGUAGAACAGUGCACAUUGUCCCUCUGUCCCUUUCUAGUCAGGCUGUGUUACAACAGCCCUACUUCACAAAGAGAAAUUUAGUUCCCAGGAUUGUCUCUAAUCUAUUGCUGUUAUUAAGACACUAAGCAACAUGCAAUAAUUACAUGCUCUGACUAUCUUCUAUCCCCAUCAUAAUAACAACUGAAAAUGGGUGUAAAGGAUAUAUACAUGCUAAGGACUCACUCUCUAUGGCAUUCCUAUUGAAUCCAACAAUAAUGUUCUCAAUCAGGCAGAGAAUGCUGCCCUAGAGAAUAAAUUGCCUGAAACUCAAACAUUGUAUUGUGAUAGGUUGGAACUACACAAGGGCUUGAACAUUGUUUUAUCAGUCACAGUUUUAUUUCCAGUCCUACUGACAUUUAAGGCACCUGGGAUACAUCAGUGAAGGAUGUCUGCAUAGAACUGGGGAGAUAACUGAACCAGAAGGAAAGAAAGGGGGGAAAAGGAACAAAAAGAAAGCUCUAAGUCAGGCAAAAGCCAUUGCAAAUACUGUGCUUAACCAAAUGUGAAAAAGGGCUGGGCUGCUUUUUUUUCCAGCUCCUUCACAAUUAGUAGGCCAGAGCACUAUUCCCAGAGUUCUCUGCUCCCUCAAGAGUGCUUAUUUAAUGCAUUUUUAGUCUCUCUGUAUGUUUCAUCUGAGUGCUGAGAGCAAGAGAAGCAAGGGAUAAGGCAGGAUAUUUUAUUCUCUCCAAUUUUUAUAAGGGUAAUAGAGAAUGUUUGAACAUACGUUGCGAAGCAUGACUAAGCAAGAAAACUCAUUCCUGACAUACCAUUCCAGUUAGACCCACCCAAGACAUUACUUGUAAUUAACUGGUCUUCUGCAAAGCUUUAUAAGGGCUUUGUUUUCUAUUCAUGUUUGUUUCACAGAAGUCACUGCACUGAAGCAAAGCCUCAUCUGGAACAAGGAAGGGAUUUUUUCCUUUGGCCAUGGCCAUUCCCACUGGAAUCCUGCAGUACUGCAGAGCCACUUCUCCCCACAACCAACCUCCAGACAGUUUCAGCUCUUACACAUAGCAAUCAGUGUUAUCAGUUGGAUGCAUCUCUUGCCGUUUUGCAGAUUAAUUUAGGAAGACAUGCUGUGCAGAGAUUCUUCAGAGAUGCAUGGAAGAAAUGUUCAGGAAAGAAGACGAUAGGACCCUGCUGGCUCUGCUCUCAGCAUUCGUGGGCGCCAUCUGGCGGUCCUUUAUUAAUUAUUGUAAUAUUUUAUGAUAUAUGCCCUGAUCAAAACGACUUGGUCUUGAUGGUGAAAAUGACUCUAAGCCUGAAGUUGUUCUGACCAGACUGUGGUCCACCUUCUCAGUAUGAGCUAAAAACAUACGUCAUGCCAAGAUCUGGACUCCCAGCCACGAAUCCGUACUACCCUGCAACUCAGAAGCACAUAGAUGUGACGUUUUACUAUAUGCCUACCCCUGGGCUAGACUUACCAUCCCUGUGCUGAUAAUGGAAGCACAUUUCUAGAAAGAACAAGCUGGUGGAUGUAUAGGUCUCUGUCAGCCAAAACCCAAUGGAAUAAAUACCUCUAAGAGUCAGAUAAUCCCAUUAGGCUCUAGAGAACUAAGGUAUAGUUCAUGUGUGAAAAACGGAAUGUAAAUUUACGGAUGGAUGAAUCAGGGGGAUUUCCAGAACCAUUUCUGAACAGGAAGACCACUUAGCUGGCCUUCUUCAAAAAGAAUUUCUGUCACAUGCAGGCCCUGGAAUGAGGAAGAAAUUUGGCUCUGAUGUUCUCUGCCGAUGACACAAAACUCAAUUUGGAAAUGCAAGCUAAUGAAAAAUACAAACACGUUCCCACAACCACAGCUAUGAAGACAAAUCAAGUAUACUCACUGAAUGGAAAUUAGAAGUAUUUUUAAUAGCUGGGUGUAGCAGCAGUAUGUGUACAGCUAUUGUGGGAUUAUAUCAUCCCAAAUAUGUUUUUACCAAAGGAUCAGCUCCAAGAAUAACUAAAACCAGCACUGCAUGCAUCUCAGGGUAAAGAGGGUUUAGGUAUGUGCAACUAAUAAGAGAUGUAUAAAUCCUUAUGCACAAAAAUACUUAUGCCCAUACUUGGUGCUGAAGGAUAAUUCUGAAUAUAACCUCUCUAUUCAGACAUUUCACAAGCAGCUGUCAGAUCCUGAUUGCACUGCAGAUUCCAGCCUGGAAUGCAACUUCUUGGAUUCGAAUUCACACGACAUUACUUCUCUCUGAGCCUAAUGUAAGAUACGGACCUACUGCAAAUGCAGGGAAAGCAGUGCUUUCAUAAAAGCUGUGCUUUCAUAGCAACGCAAUGGUUGUGCUGUGCAUGAUGCAGCACUGUGGUUCUGCAUCACCCACGCUCACACAGCCAAGACUCUCAGCAUAUCACCAGUCACCUUUCUGGUCUUCUGCCCAUCUCAGUUACAAAUAUCUCAGAAGACAAAAGUACAAUAUCCCAUGGACAACACUAUUCACUCUGUUAAGAAAUAUCUCCACAUAAUCAGUGUCAUUUAUUUUUCUGCUGACACUUCAAUACUGAUAUGACUGUAAAUAAUUCCACUUGUUCUUUGGGUAUCCAUACCUCAUUUUACUAAAAAACACAUAGAAGAAGGAAAUAUAUUUAAAAAAAACUCACAACAACAACAACCAGGACUCCCUUCUUCUAGAUAUUUGCCACACCAUUCUUUGAAAGCACCAACAGUAACUCCGACUGAAACACGCAAAAGCUAUUACAUCCAUCACUCGAUGGGCCACUGGGAGGCAGUCUUUUCAACCUGAAAAAUAAAGAUAGUUUGUCUUCUGACACUCCUUUGAUAUAGUGGUUGCUUUCCCACUGUUUAUCCAGAAACACCUAUUUCUAUUUAUUUUUAUUUUUCCCAGCUCAACAUUUUUCUGCACAUCCUUAUAUUUCUUUAUCUUCUACCAUUCCUAAGUAUCUCAUCUUUGUCGUCGUUCUGUUGCAUACAUGUUUAGAAAUACUAUUAAACUCCACCCUUAUAUCUCCUCCUUUCUUGCUGCCAUCUAAGCCUGUUCUUUCAGCUUUUCCUUCUCUGCAGUUUUUUUCUCCUUAUGUACAAUAUUCUCCUUCUUUGCUGUUCCUUUCCACGAGCCACACAUUCUUUCACUGUCUAAAGAGGUAACAAAACAAAAGCAACUAUUUAUGUGCCCUACUAUGUGAAAAGUGCAUUCUUAUGGAGUAAUCUCUCACUGACAGUAAGAACAGGCAGCUUCUUCUCAAAUAUGAAACCCUGGAUGCUUUACCAUACAAAACCCCAAGUAACUGUCUCCCUCUUACCAGCUCUCACCUCCUGUUCUUCCCCUAACACUCUCACAUUAAAGCUUUCCCAAAACUACUAUGAAAACAAGAAGGUUGACCCACAAUACCAUCCACUGAAAACAAAAAGAGCAAUCCAGGCAUCAAUGGGAACUCUGACCACAAUGCAACUUGAAAAAAUAAAACACUUCUUUUGCAUGUGGACUGUGUUAGACAAAGUACAGCUUUGUGAUGUGCGUGUGUUUGCAAACCAGCUAAUGGAGAAGCAGUAAGAUAUGCAUGAAGUAAAAUCUGCAUCCUUUAUUAGAUGUGAUCAGCUUGGCUGAUUGGCAUCAAUUCAUUGGAAAUCAGAAUUGCAAAGACAGAAUGCAGUGAAGCCUACCUUGUGUUCAUGUUUGGUUAGCAAUGAAAUAAAAAUAAUAAUUAAAAAUGGUGGUGAUGAAGAGGAAUGUUUGAAAGUAAGAAAUAUUUAUUCUUCAUUGGUGUUAAAGUUAAAUAAAUUUAAGUAAUGACUCUUCGCA